rnacentral:rRNA from 1 species
ACGGAAGGCAGCAGUGGGGAAUAUUGCACAAUGGGCGAAAGCCUGAUGCAGCGACACCGCGUGAGUGAAGAAGUAUCUCGGUAUGUAAAGCUCUAUCAGCAGGGAAGAAAAUGACGGUACCUGACUAAGAAGCCCCGGCUAACUACGUGCCAGCAGCCGCGGUAAUACGUAGGGGGCAAGCGUUAUCCGGAUUUACUGGGUGUAAAGGGAGCGUAGACGGUUUGGCAAGUCUGAAGUGAAAUGCGGGGGCUCAACUCCUGAACUGCUUUGGAAACUGUCGAACUAGAGUGCAGGAGAGGUAAGUGGAAUUCCUAGUGUAGCGGUGAAAUGCGUAGAUAUUAGGAGGAACACCAGUGGCGAAGGCGGCUUACUGGACUGUAACUGACGUUGAGGCUCGAAAGCGUGGGGAGCAAACAGGAUUAGAUACCCUGGUA